AGAAAACAAGCUAAUCCGAAAGAUUAAAAAUAAAGGUGCGAAAAAUUAAUUUUAAUCCCCGGCAGCGGCGCCAAAAACUUGAUGUGCUAGAAAUAAAACUUUUAAAUCGCAAGCGCACGAUCACCGUUUUAAUAUUUACAUUAAAGAUCUUUUUGAGGACAACGCGCACUGAUGUGCUAGAAAUAAAACUUUUAAAUCGCAAGCGCACGAUCACCGUUUUAAUAUUUAAGAUUCGUCCACAGAGAUUAAAAUUAUUUUCGCAACCUAUUAUUAUUAACCUAGGCGGAUGAGAACCAUAUUUUUAGAAUUUCGGGUUUAUUAGCUAAUUAAUGAGCAGGAGAAAUUGACUACUAAUUCGAAUACAACCAAUUAAACUAGAAAUUAACUAAAAUUAAACUCGCAAAUACAAGACUUAAAAGUUACAAAUAAUUAAGAAAGUUUCUGCAUGAUAUCUCUAAAAGCUAAGCUAGCCUAUAACAUAUUAUUAUCAACAGAAGAUAACCACGUUGACUACCCAGCCAUUUAGUUAAUCUAAAAGAAAUAUAAAAGGAAAUAAACUAGGCACAUGUACUAAAUACACUCACAAAAACAAUUCCUACACCAGGCUAAACGCGGGGUCACUGAACCUAGUAAACUAACAUGACGCUACAAAGGAAAUAAAAGAAAACUACAGAAAGUUAUACUCCACUGCUAGACUUAAAAAUAAAAGAAACGAAGCAAGCCAACAACUCGAAAAACAUGAACUAAUCAAAACAACUCGGUAAAAGAACAUGGACUCGAAAACAGACUCGAAUGGAAACCCAGCAGCAAGACUCAAUACUGGACUCAAUUACUAAAAAGUCUAAAACAAAGAAACACAGCAACAACUCGCAGAAUGAAAGAAACUACUCAAUACAAAACCCAGAACUCGGCGAUAAACAACUCUAACACAGAACAACGCAGCCACAACGAAAAGGACUCGGAAGAUGACUCAACUGACUCGGAAUAAUCGAACAAACACAACUACAACUCAGCUAAUCAGAACCCAAGCAGAGAAGACUCAAAAUUCCAAAUCAAACAAAACAAAGCCUACACUAAACUGGGAACUCAGCACAGCAACAACGCAAACUUAAAACUCGGAACUCGACCCUGGUAUUGAAAGAACAAGACUCAGCCACUCAAACAAAUCGCUGCAAGAACAGCCAUCAAAAACUCUACAAACAAACGCAGAACUCGACAAAAACUACAGAAACGCAGCGAUUCAAAAACAGAAAAAACAGAAAGCAUGAACUCGCGACUCGAACUAAACUAACGAAUUAAAACUCAGCUACUGAACCUAGUGACUCGAAAACUCAGAAUAUCGCGAACUCAGCAUCAUACAAAAGCGAAAUCAGAACCCAACUCAGCUUUUAAUAAACAGUAAUUAGACAACUCGGUGCAAACUCGGCGGCGACUCAGUCAUACCAAACAGAACAACAACUUGGUAAAUCAACAGUACUAAAACAGGGCAUGGCGUCGUAAGUUUAAAAUGGAACAGGGGUUUGGGAGUUCAUUUUAAUGAAAACAGAGGAAGGGUUUGGGGUUUUAUGUUUUAAACGAAACAGGGGAGAAGUGGGUUUGUAUAUAAAACAAGUAAUUUAACUUAAGCAAAAGCAGAUCUAGUCGAAAAGAACUGGGUUGGAUUAUUUUAAUAACGAAAUCAGAGCAAAUAAUAACUUACUAUUCGCACUUUAAAACUAUAAAUGUAAUAAUGUAGGAGUUUUAAGUCUAAACCCUAACACAAAUUAAUUUUGUGCUAGGAUUUAGUUUACUACUUCAAAAGAUCACAAAUCUACACUAAUCACAAACUCAAUGAUUCUUCAUUUCCCAAAAGCUUAAAAGCAUGGGGUGGUACUUUAGAAGAGUCAUUCAACUUGGAGAACAUAAAUUAAAAAGACAAUACAAGAUUAAGAUAAAAGAGAUUUGCAUAGAAAUUAAAGAGUGUAUACAAGCUUGGAAAGGAAAUUGGGGCUAGCAAAAUGUAAAUCUAUCUAAGAUACUAACUAUAGAAAUGACUAGGUAGAAAAGGUGGGUAGGUGGCUAGGGUUGCUAGGUUGGUGAUUACAAGUAAAAGAAGAGGGGUAUUUAUAACUAAAGAAUUAGGGUUUAGGGGUAGGGUGGCUCCAUCUUGACCAUCCAUGUGCCUUGAGUGUUGGGAGAAUUGUGGCCAUCCAUGUGUCCUUUACUUGCCAACCCUUUUUCUUUUUCUUCUUUUCUUUUCAUUUUCUUCUUUUUCUUGCAUUUUCUCUUCUUUCUUUAUUUAUCUACAAUUUCCUGAAAUAAAAUAAAUAAGCGAUUAAUACUACGAAAAUAAACAAAAAAUAGGCACUUAAAUAUGCAAAAAUAUGGACUAAUCAAACUUCCCCAUACCUAUCUUUUGCUCGUCCUCGAGUAAAAAUCAAAAGAAAAGAAAAUAAACUAAGAAAACUAGAUGCGAUUCCUAGGCUCCUUUUCGUAGGCGUGACGGGUGAUUUUAGGUUCACCAACCCGUUAAACUCGUAGACGAUCUCUACAAGAGGAGUUUUGUCUCCUAAGGGUUUACAGAAGAUAUACCCAUAAAAUCUUCGAGACAUUCUAGCAAGUGUCUACUCGACUCUACUCUAAUUUCGUUGGUGUUAACAAAAAGCGUUUUUAAGGAAAAUACGACUUAAAGACU
rnacentral:lncRNA from 1 species